AUUGAACGCUGGCGGAAUGCUUUACACAUGCAAGUCGAACGGCAGCACGGGGCAACCUGGUGGCGAGUGGCGAACGGGUGAGUAAUAUAUCGGAACGUGCCCAAUCGUGGGGGAUAACGUAGCGAAAGUUACGCUAAUACCGCAUACGAUCUACGGAUGAAAGCGGGGGAUCGCAAGACCUCGCGCGAAUGGAGCGGCCGAUAUCAGAUUAGGUAGUUGGUGGGGUAAAGGCUCACCAAGCCAACGAUCUGUAGCUGGUCUGAGAGGACGACCAGCCACACUGGAACUGAGACACGGUCCAGACUCCUACGGGAGGCAGCAGUGGGGAAUUUUGGACAAUGGGCGCAAGCCUGAUCCAGCCAUUCCGCGUGCAGGAUGAAGGCCUUCGGGUUGUAAACUGCUUUUGUACGGAACGAAACGGUCUGCCCUAAUACGGCGGGCUAAUGACGGUACCGUAAGAAUAAGCACCGGCUAACUACGUGCCAGCACGCCGCGGUAAGCAUAC
rnacentral:rRNA from 1 species